UAAGCCCUUGUUCUAUAGAUUUGUCUCUAACAUGUUGGGUCUCGGGGGGCUUCCUCUAGAGACUUGGAUGUAAGGGGCUUUACGCAUUCGCAUAACUUAUGAAGUGUGGAUGACUCUAGGAGGGGUCUGAGAAUGUGCUGUGCCAGCCAGGCUGAUAAUUGUUUAAUUGUCAGCUUGGACUUGUACACAGUCUCAUCAGUCUUCAGCUUGGGUCAUUGAUAUUCUGUAAGUCAAAACUUUAUCCAUUCACUGUAGUAGGUUGCGGAGGACUUGAAAGUUCUCUCUGCAAUUGAGACACUUACCAGGCCAUCGCAAGUUGGCAGUGUACACUACUGAUUUUAUGGUCGUGGGGGACUUGGGAGCUGGUGCUUGUGUCGCAUGAGGUAGAGUUGAUAUGGAUGGAUGGAAGAGAAGCAUAUGUAUGUCGUGGGGGACUUGGGGUAAGACGCCUUGCGGCAAGUAGAGUCAACCAGUAGUGACUUCUUUUAGUCAUGGGGGACUUUGGUAAUGGUAGUGAGCCGGAAUAAGGAAUGGAUAAAUGUAGUAUGGAUGGUGACAGGGGGAGCAGCAGAGCGUACGCAGUGGGUAUGUAUAUAGUUGAAAAGGGAUGGGCAGUAGAAUUUUGAGGAAUUAAUGACCUAAGGGUGGUUCUAAUAGGCUUGUCAAGAAAAAAGUUAAGUUGAAUCAAGCUGGGUCAAGCAAAGUCUAGAAAAGAUUUAUUG
rnacentral:misc_RNA from 1 species